UCUCCUCCCCCUUCUAAAUAACUCAUGAGUCUGAUCGGUGCUGACCUCAUGUGAAUGGGUUUGUGGACAUCCAUUACAACAUAGUUGGAUUUAUCUUCUUUUGACACUACUUGAGGGGCUGAGUUAUGUGGCUCUGUGAUAGAGCACCUGUUUAGCCUACACUUUUAGGAUUCAAUUCCUAAAAACGGAAAUGGCAGUUAUUUUGACUUCUGAUUGAAACAUGCAGGAAUCAAAACAUCAUACAUAGAGCAAGUCCCGGAAGCUAAUCCAGCAAAAGCAGGAACUAAGACACACAGGAAUCAAAACACCAUACACAGACCAACACCAGAAGUCAUUGCAGAGAGAUCAGGAACUCAAAGGAAGCAGCUGGAUGCAAAAACAGUUCUGAGCAAGGUAAUAUGAAGCCAAGUAAGAGUGAAGCUAACACUUGUGAGCGACCUUCUUACCUACCAAAAUUUUGAGACCUGGUCUGUCCCUGGGUCUGAAGCUCACUGAUUCAGCAAGUCCUGGGGAUCCUCUUAUUCCACAUCCUCAGCCCCGGAAUGACAGCAAAUAAAUAUGAGAUAAAAGGAAUGCAGACAAAAGCAAAACAGAAAAUUGAAAGUAGAAGGACAAACUAGAGAGGUCGAAGCCAUCCUGCUGCAGGAGAUGGGAGCAAACGCAGAGAUCGCCAGCUGGACCACUCCAUCAGAUCCUCCCCUCAGGGCUCAGGGUACCCUGCUGCACAAGAGGCUGAGAGAGUCUAAGAGCCAAAGGGGACCACCAAGGAAACCCAGCCUUCUAGACCCAACAGGAUAGACAGACGUAUGAGCUCACGGAGACUGGCAGCAGCACACACAGGACCCGCCCAGGUCCAAGCCGGAUGGGGUCCUAGAGCUGAAAGGGGGAAGUGGACAUGACUCUCAUCCCUAAUCCAGACGCUAACUCCAAUAGCAAACUGCUCGCAAAGAAAAACUAGUUUUCUCCAAAGAAGUCUCCCUGGGAAAGUAAACCAACUGAAUGGCAGGCCCUAUGCCCAGCGCGGAUGACCACAUCAAACGAACUCAAUGGAAUUUUUUUUUUUUGAAAUUUUUAUUUCUUUUUAUUUUUGUCUCAUGCUGCAUUGUUUGAACAUUAUUUAAAAAAAAACUUACUGAUUUUUUGCUUAUAAUAUUGUGGUUUCCAAUUUUGUGUUUUUAUGGUGUGUGUGUGCUUUGGAUGAUUUUUCUUUUUUUUUCCCCUUCUGUUUGUUUUGUUUUAUUCUGGUUUGUUUGUUUUUCUUUUAUCUGUCUGUUUACUUUGUAAAAUGAGAGAGAGGAGACUGGGGGGGGCGGGGAAUGAAUACAACUGGAUGGAUAGGGAUGAUUUGGAAAGAGAUGAGAAAGGGGAAACAGUGAUCAAAAUAUAUCACAUGAAAAAAUUUCAUUUUUAAUUAAAGGAAGCCAAUGAGGGACAUGGCCACAAAGGAUUCCAGUAAAAUGGUUUUAUUUCUAAUAAUCAGUUUAUGCUUGGGCAAAUGUAAUGUUAUCUGACCCACAAGAGGCUCACCAGUUUCAACCUAUAUAAGUCUGGGUGUGAUCCUUUACUUUUACCAGAUGUCAGAGGACUCUGGGCUGACACAUUUAUGGGUUUGCCUAAGCAGGAGAGUAGUACUUCCAUGGGAGCUAGACAUGGUCCCUCUCUUUUGAUGGUGAUCCCUUGGAGCCAGUGUGAUUGACACAUCACUUAGUGAGGUCCAAUGCUCUCGACAGAUCUGAGAGCAGAAGGAGAGCUUGCAACUUAGUAAAAGAAGGACCUGAAAUAUGAGUUUCUCUUUAGUCUAGAUAGUUUAUUCUGGGUAAUGAAGGCAAAAUAAAAAUUACUUCAGAAGUCUAGGAGGGAUGCCUGGAUCCUUUACUGAGGAGCUUUAUGUCUGGGCAGGUGACACUGUACUAAGUUUUGGCCUAAUUUCUAGGUGAAAAUAAGGUAAUUUCGCAAUCUGAUGCUUCCUCUGAUUUGAUCCCCCCCCUCUAGUAUGUUGGUGUAACACCCCCAAUUUGACAGUAGAUGUGAAGACUCAGGACUGAGGAUAAGCAUCUGUUAGCUUCAGCAAGUCAGCCAGGCAAGUCUUCCUCCCUCAAGCAUCAGCUGCCAAGUUUACCUCAUCUAUCACCAUCUUAUCUAUCACCAUCUUAGUUGGAUCACCAAUGACACUGCUGAAUGAACUGAAGACGUUGUGAGGCUUCACUUGUGGCAGAAAAACACUUCCAAAUAUGGUACUAAAGAAAUAAUGCCAAGGUACAGAAUACAGCAAAUACAGAGGCGAAUGCCAGCAGCAAACCACUGAACUGAGAAUAGGACCCCCAUUGAAGGAAUCAGAGAAAGAACUGGAAGAGCUUGAAGGGGCUCGUGACCCCAUAUGUACAACAAUGCCAAGUAACCAGAGCUUCCAGGGACUAAGCCACUACCUAAAGACUAUACAUGGACUGACCCUGGACUCUGACCUCAUAGGUAGCAAUGAAUAUCCUAGUAAGAGCACCAGUGGAAGGGGAAGCCCUGGGUCCUGCUAAGACUGAACCCCAGUGAACUAGAC